GGUUCGAUCCCGCUUAGCUCCACCAAGAGCGCUUGCAUGGCAUGCAAGAGGUCAGCGGUUCGAUCCCGCUUAGCUCCACCA
rnacentral:tRNA from 1 species